GGAUCAUGUCGCCACCUGCACAAGCAGAACAACUCGUGAACAUGUAAUCGCAACCGACGAACUUAGGAGCUCUCUCUUUUGGUGGGCUUCCUUUGUUCACAAUGUCAAGGUAUCCUCAUCGUAGCCCAUCCACGCUUGUUGUUGGAGCURCGUUUGCCCGGCUGACUUGACAUGAAACAACAACCCGGCGUGAAAUGCGCCAAGGAACUUAAAAGAAUGCACAUCUGUCCCGUGUUUGCUUGCGCAACAUUGGAGGGAUGUUAUCUUCUUGAUGUCUUUAAUGACUCUCGGCAACGGAUAUCUCGGCUCUUACAUCGAUGAAGAACGUAGCGAAAUGCGAUACUUGGUGUGAAUUGCAGAAUCCCGUGAACCAUCGAGUCUUUGAACGCAAGUUGCGCCCAAAUCCAUCUGGUCGAGGGCACGUCUGCCUGGGUGUCACGUACACGCGGCUCCACURACCCUCUCCUUUUAAGGGCGACGGACCCGUGCGAGCAGAGAUUGGUCUCCCGUGCUUCAAAUGGCACGGUUUGCCUAAAAAUGAGUACCGGUGAUGAAGUUUCACGCCAAGUGGUGGUUCAUCAACCCUAAGGGUUUGCCAGUUCGCGUCGUGAAAGCCCAUCACUCGGAAAGCUUGAUAGACACCUUGAACGUCUAAUUGACGCUAUGUCGCGACCCCA
rnacentral:misc_RNA from 1 species